UAGAGCCAAGGAUUCGAAAGAGG
rnacentral:misc_RNA from 1 species